UCAUGUGCCCAUCUUCACCAUC
rnacentral:siRNA from 1 species